rnacentral:lncRNA from 1 species
AAAGACAAAAGGAUGAAAACACAGAACAAAAGUACAGAAGUGACAAUAAGAAGGCCCAAUACACGUGCAACUGGAGUCCCAGGAGGCAACAUGAGAGAGAAAAGGCAACAGAAAUAUUGGAAGAUAAAAUAGCUGAGAAAAAUCACCCAAUUGAUCAGUCUCUAAGGUACAGAUUCAAGAAACUCAGUGAAUCCCAAGCAAGACAAAUAAAACCAAGGUCACAGCCAGCAUGGCAUAUCAUGGUACAACUACUAAAAACCAAAGACCAAGAGAAAGUCUUAAAAGCAGAGGGGAAAAUAUUUUCUUUCACAGGAGCAAUAAUAAGUAUCACAACUGACCUCUGCUGUGGUUUGGAUUUGUGUCCUCACCCAAGCAUGUCAAAUUGUAAUUCCCAAUGUUGGAGAUGGGGCCUGGUGGGAGGUGAUUGGGUCAUGGGGGUGGUUCCCCCUUGAGUCCCCCUGUUCUUGUGAUAGAGUUCACAUGAGAUCUGGUUGUGUCAAAAUGUCUUCCCCGUCUCUCUCUUCCUCCUGCUCUGGCCAUGCAAGACCAGCCUGCUUCCCCUUUGCCUUCUGCCAUGAUUGAAAGUUUCCUGAGGCCUCUCCAGAAGCCAUCAUGCUUCCUCUACAGCCUGA